CCUACGGGUGGCUGCAGUAGGGAAUAUUGCUCAAUGGGGGAAACCCUGAAGCAGCAACGCCGCGUGGAGGAUGAAGGUUUUCGGAGAGGAAACUCCUUUUGUUAGAGAAGAGAAUGACGGUAUUUAACGAAUAAUCACCGGCUAACUCCGUGCCAGCAGCCGCGGUAAUACGGAGGGUGCAAUCGUUACCCGGAAUCACUGGGCGUAAAGGGAGCGUAGGCGGGAUAGCAAGUCAGAUGUGAAAUCCUAUGGCUUAACCUUAGAACUGCAUUUGAAACUGUUAUUCUAGAGUAUGGGAGAGGUAGGUGGAAUUCUUGGUGUAGUGGUGACAUCCGUAGAGAUCAAGAGGAAUACUCAUUGCGAAGGCGACCUGCUAGAACAUAACUGACGCUGAUGCGCGAAAGCGUGGGGAGCAAACAGGAUUAGAUACCCCAGUAGUC
rnacentral:rRNA from 1 species